rnacentral:rRNA from 1 species
AUGGCGCCCAACAUGUUUUGGGGGGCGACGAUGCUCAUGGCCGUCUUCAUCUUCAAUUGGUCCUUUACUCGAAGCGUCGACGACAUGACACCGUACGAGGCGUGGCACGGUGUGAAGCCUGACGUACAUUUCCUUCGUGUUUUCGGGUGUGUAGGCCACGUCAAGAUGGCGCACCCUCAUCUGAAGCUCGAUGAUCGGAGUUCACCUAUGGUCUUCAUCGGCUACGAGACCGGCUCCAAGGUGUACAUGAUGUAUAACCCUGCCUCAAAGCACGUGCACAUCUCCCGCGAUGUCAUCUUUGACGAGGUGCUGUAA